CAUUUGCAAAAUUCUUGCGGCAAGAUAGCAUUAAGAAAUUAACAACAGAAACCGAAAUAAAUCGGAAAAUCAUGGUGAAUUUACAUAAACAGGACUGUUGUCUCGUUCAAGAACAAAAGCACCGUGAGCGGUUCAAAAAAGUGGUGGUGGUGGAAUUUGUUACGAAACCUUGUCUUUCUCUUCGGUGACCAACGAUGCCGCCUCUUGCCAGCUCAGACUUCGGCGUGGGAACUCAACCCGCAUCUACAUCACCUAUGGCUCGUC